AAGUAAACAGGUAGAACCCUAAUUUUAGCUGCCAUCCGUACAGAAAAUCCACCAACUCUUUAUGACAAUUAAGUUUUAAGAAAAACUAGCUGGGCACAAAAAAAGAAUCUGAAGCUUCCAGGACGGCAUGUAAGAUCAUAGAGCCAUUGACAAUAAUAGGCAAGAAAAAGACAGAUGACAGAAUGCUAAGUCAUAUCCUCUGUUUUUUUAACAAUACAAUUAUAUUAGAUGUAGGAAGGGGCAAAGCCCAUAUACAAAGGCUCACACAUAAGGAACAACAAAAGAACUACAUCCAGGUUUUACAAUGAUGGCCCAAAAAAUUCUAACAAUACAAUGAUGAACCAAAAA